UACUAGACCUUUGUGGAAGGACGUCAUUAUGAACAAGGGAUGGGGCUUGGUGCAUCCUCCUGUUGUGUUUUAGCAGUUAAGCCUUUUUCAGCAUGCUAGUGGCCGUGGUCUUGCGUGAUGAGCUUCCAUGCAUUUUGCUACAUGGAAAAUCUCUCUCGCAGGUGUAACUGCACAUCCAGGGGUUUCCAGUAACUUGGUUGGAGACGAAUGUACAUCAGAGAUGUGACUGCACUGCUGUUUUGUUUGUUGGGUGACUGUUUUAACUUUGUCUGUCUUGGUCUUAUUUUGGUUAACUUGGUUUGUAUGGGUUUUCUUUUAUUCAUCCAUAAGCAGCCAUUCAUUAACUUGUGUGUGUGAGUUAGCAGGGAGACAAGAUAUUUGGUCUUGGUCGGCCAUUUUGUUCCUCCCGUUGGUGCAGACAACUGCUCA